rnacentral:tRNA from 1 species
GCCCCGAUGGCUUAGAGGUUAUAGCGCCACACUCAUAAUGUGGAGGUCGCUGGUUCGACUCCGGCUCGGGGCA